GCUGGGUUUGUUCAGCUUGGAGAAGAGAAGGCUGCGAGGAGACUUCACUGUGGCCUUCCAGGACCUGAAGGGAGCUUGUGAGCAGGAAGGGGACUGAUUUUUUACGUGGUCUGAUAGAAAUAGGACAAGUGGAAAUAGUUUUAAACUAAAAGUGGAGAUUCAGAUUAGAUGUUAGGAGCAAAUUCUUUACUCAGAGGGCGGUGAGGCCCCAGCACUGCUGCCCAGAGCUGUGGGUGCCCCAUCCCUUGAGGUGCUCAAGACCACAGAUGGACCAUGAGCAACCUGAGCUGUUGGGGGGCACCCAGCCAUGGCAGGGGAGUCAGAAUGGAUGAUCUUUAUGGUCCCUUCCAACCCAAGCCAUUCUGUGAUUCUCUGUUCUUUUCCUUAAACUUUUCCAGCUGAGCUGCACAUGAUCCAACCAAUCACUGGGUAAUGCUGGAAGAGAAGAAAAGCAAAAUUUCUAACAGAGAGAACUGGUCCCAUACCAAAGAGGUGCCCUUGAGAGUGUCAGUGACGUAGCUAACAGCACCAACAAAGAGCUACCAGAAUAGCUGAAACAAUGGGAGAAAAUAAAUUGGUACCGCUUUAUAACCUUCUAUCCACAGGAAGGGCUUGUGCAGCAAAUACUGCAUUAGGCAAAGAACAGCAAAUCGUUAAGCCCUGAAAACGCACAGGCUCACUUGAGUGUGGUUUUCAAUUAAAUGAUACAUCAUCUUUGUUGCCCAGGAAGCAGAGAUUCCUUAAGGGCAGCAGAGAACCCAGCAGACUAAAAAGCCAUUAAGAUGCCCAGCAUCAUUUUCCAUCCCUGCUGGAUGCUGACUGUGAUCCCAUUCAGCCCGUGCACCAGUGUGUUUCCAGCCCAUCCCCUCAGCACCACCGGCCCUACCUGCACGAGGGACCAUGAAUUGAGCUUCACAGACCACCAAAAAGGAUAAAUAUUUGUAUGAAGGCUGCAGUGAUGCACAGGUCACAGUGAACUGAUGGCUGCAGAAGCGGCACCGGCAUUGGGUGAUGCUCCCAUUGCAGCACUAUGUGUAAAAGGGACCCUGGCUGGGACUUCGUGACAUCAGUGGUGACAGCAGCAGGACGGUGACAUCGCAGACCUAGACAGGGAUUCUGCAGCAGGUGUGUGAGUAUGGCCAAAGAACUCACCUGGAUCUGAGCAAAAACUAGGAGCCAACGUCACCAGCAGACACCUCAAAUCCCAUCAACUCCUUCCUGAAAGCUUUCAUCUGCAGCACUGCUCAGACACCUCUGCAACAGGGCUCAAACAACAUCCCUCUCUGAACCUACCCAGAAAGGAGAGUGCUGUCGCUGCCGGCUCUGCCAUCACCCUCCUGUUCCCAAUGGUAACCAGAGGCUGCUUCUCCUGCAAACAUCUCACCAGAGAGAUGCUUUGUGAAGUGUUGCAACGCUUGAAAACCUUGUUAACAGCAGGAAAUCUAUUUAAAGUGGAAUGAAUAUGAUCAUUAAGGAAUAAAGAGGGAGUUUCAACACGGCAAAGACCUAGGGCUAGGGCGGGGAGGCAGUGGCUCCACUAGUGUAUUUACACUUUUACAUCUCGAAGUCCCAUCGCAGGAUAAUGGGAAAGGGAACUCCAGCAGAUCAAACUAACUUAAUACAAAGCCAAAAUGUCCAUUUGCCAGGGGAAAGAAUGAAAUUUAACACGGUAGGAAGGGGAAAAAAGAGAAAAGGAAAUGGAUGGGAGGUGCCAGGUGGGACGAAGGCAGUGCUCCCCACACACAGAAUUCUGGGGGCUACUUUGUCAGCCCCUAAAUUAGGGGAAAUCCAGAGCAUCUCAAUUACAAUCCACCUGGAGCCCUUCCUCCCCACAGCACACCCCACAAAUGGGAAUUCAGCCCUUCCCCUGGCUGGGCUGCAGCUGCCAUGCUGAUGUUCGGAGCUGUCUCAGCUCAAGCACACGUUGUCUGUUCUCAGUGCUUGGGGAUAUAGCUGGGGGAAAAAAGGGAAAAAAGCAGAGGCAGCCCACCCUACAAACUGAGCUUCAAGGUCACCCUGCCACAGCCUGGGUCUGUUCAGGUGCUGGAGAGAAAAAUAAAGAAAUCUCAAGAGCAGCAGGAGCUCCGGUUUUUUGUUUGCUUGCGAUAUGGCUGCCCCACUUCCAAUCAAAAAGUACCUGUUAUGUACAGAGGGAAAGGUGAGCUUUUUGUGGUAAAAAAUCCUGAAUUCACCUGUUUGUUAAUCUGACAAGUUCGCCAGCAUAGCUUAAUCAUUAACCAGAAGCAAUGUUCCCAGAGUUGGCUCCUCGAUGCUUAAGAGAUGUGUGGAGACUGAUGGUGACAAUGUGUGACACCAACACGAUGACACUGUCACAGCCAAGCCUAAUUCCUGCCACUGUCCCACCCCAUGGAGGCAGAGCCAAGCACAGGACCGCUUUCUGCUUUCCACUGCACUCCAGCCAAACUCAGGUCUCAGUCCAAAGCAAUUGCAGCUCACUCAGAGGGAGAAUUAUGGCACCAGCAAUAUAAAAGUCCAUCAGAUAAAAGCAGCCACAGUGAUGCAUGUCAUUUCUGCACUAGUUAGAGCCGACUGCCUGGUGCAAUUCACAGGAUUCCCACUCCGGGUCUACAGGAACAAGCAGGGGAGAAGCUGUGGACCCACAGCCAUACAGCAGCUGCAGACAGCCCAGCCUUUAACUGCCUCUUGCUUUUACCAUUCUGUUCAUUUCUAAAUAUAUUCUACUGUCUUUCCAAAUUACCAUUCCAUUACAACAAUUUUCCUUGAAGAUAUUGCUGGCUGUGGGCAAACCACAGGAGUGCUCAGGUUGUUACAUGCAUCAACUAGUUAAGUGCUACGAGGAUGCUGAGCGCACACUUCUUGCUCUCCAAGUUGCAUUAAUCCUCACCGUAACACACUCUGAUCUCCCAGGUUUGGGGCUUAUAGAAUCCUCAAGUUCUGGACUCACUUCACCUGAUCAGAAGCCACGAGCACCACAAGUCACCUCGCAAUGUAACCCUUGCACACCUCAUCUCACUCUUCAGCACAAACCCUCUGCGUACCACCCUGUCACCGCAGCAAUUAGCUAUUCCAUUUUGCAAAACAUAUUGAGAAAGCGCAGUUGAUUAGGGCAGUAAUUGCAUCUUUAUGAGCUUUUAAAGCAACUCUCGUAGCCAAGAACGCAAGCUAGACUGACUGCACAUCUCAUGUAUGGAAAAUAACCCAGGGAAAGCCAAGGACAGAGAGAAACGGUGACUUUUGCUUUCAGCAUUGUCAGUAAUUAAUUCCACAUGAAGAGGUGCUCCAGCACAAGCCACCCCCGUGACGAGUUGAAACCACUUUUUGCCAGAGGAAAGAAAGAAACAAAGACCUGAAA